rnacentral:rRNA from 1 species
GACAGAGGUGCCAAGCGUUAGGCGGAAUCACUGGGCUUAAAGCGUGUGUAGGCGGGUGCCUAAGUAACUUGUGAAAUCCCACGGCUCAACCGUGGAACGGCUGGGUAUACUGGGUGCCUUGGGUCAUCCAGGGGCUGCCGGAACAAAUGGUGGAGCGGUGAAAUGCGUAGAUAUCAGGAGGAACACCGGUGGCGAAGGCGGGUCUCUGGGCCGGUACCGACGCUGAGGAGCGAAAGCGUGGGGAGCGAACAGG